rnacentral:lncRNA from 1 species
GAUGAUCAGCACGAGAAGUUGUUAGGGAUGAGGUGUGAGUUGUGACUGUAGUUUAUACCAAGUUGGAGGUCAUCAUGUUUGUUGAUUGUGUACGCGGGAUGUACACAGGCAGACAUGCAUGUGCUGAUAUGCAGCAGCUAGACGUGCUAUCAGUUUAUUUUUGAACCGGGGGGGGGGGAGAGGAUCCCCACCUGAAUAUAUUGCUCAAAAAGCUGCCAAAGCUAAGGGUCACCCCUUAAGGUUUGGUUGAUCCAGUUUAUAAGGGAAACCGGAUCAAAAACCUAAACAAGUUGACCCCGUUUAUGAGGAAAACCGGGCCGAAAACCAUACAAGUAACAAGGUUACAGAAGAUGAGAAAAAAAUUGCCACCUAGGAGAGGGCAUGACCUAGCUAGCAGGCAAAAGACCAACACCACGAGAGACACAAGUAGAUGUGGGGUUUUGUUUAGGGAUCACAAUACCAAGACUCUGCAAACAACCUAACACACCGCACCGGCGUGCGUAUCGAGCCCCAUGGCACAACAAAGGAUCAACCAUAAUCAACGAGUGUCAAGCCUUAACAAGAACCUUGACUGAGAGAUCCACCACGGGCGAUCGAAACGAUUAGCAGGUUGGGGAGGCAUCAUUGCGCCGUCAUUGAGCAAAGGUGAACCAAGACAACACCAAGAGCCCGAAGCUCGCCGCAACACAACGGCAACCAUGGGAGGGUCUUGAGCAUGCACAGCAACAGGACGGAGACCACGCGAAGGACAGUCAAAGAGAAACACAUGAAGAAGAGGACACCACCAUCGGCCCCAAGCUGGCCGCACCACCAUCAACCACGCGCAGCAACAGAAGUCGUCGUUUGGGUCUCCAAGAUGACGCCUCCAAGGAGGUAGUGCUGUCGAAGACACAACACCAUCAUCCGAUCCGGCGAGCCGGAUCUUAGGUUUUCACCCGGAGACCACAAUGCAAAGUACCGUAGGUGCAGGAGCUCCACAGCGGCACCUCCUGCAAGGAAGACGACGUCCAUAGACGCCGCUGUCGCCGACAUCAACAAAGUCGAUGCAAGGUUCUCACCCAGAGUUUGAGCACAUCCCUACAGCAAGACAGCCAGAACCACGCCGCAGAUCCACGCGAAAUAGCUCGGAGACCACGCCUCUAGGAAGGUAUACGAGUCUCUGGCGUACUCUCCAUAAAGAGUCCACCGUAACUU